rnacentral:rRNA from 1 species
AGCGAACGCUGGCGGCAGGCUUAACACAUGCAAGUCGAGCGGGCGUAGCAAUACGUCAGCGGCAGACGGGUGAGUAACGCGUGGGAACGUACCUUUUGGUUCGGAACAACACAGGGAAACUUGUGCUAAUACCGGAUAAGCCCUUACGGGGAAAGAUUUAUCGCCGAAAGAUCGGCCCGCGUCUGAUUAGCUAGUUGGUGAGGUAACGGCUCACCAAGGCGACGAUCAGUAGCUGGUCUGAGAGGAUGAUCAGCCACAUUGGGACUGAGACAUGGCCCAAACUCCUAUGGGAGGCAGCAGUGGGGAAUAUUGGACAAUGGGCGCAAGCCUGAUCCAGCCAUGCCGCGUGAGUGAUGAAGGCCCUAGGGUUGUAAAGCUCUUUUGUGCGGGAAGAUAAUGACGGUACCGCAAGAAUAAGCCCCGGCUAACUUCGUGCCAGCCGCCGCCGUAACAC